rnacentral:rRNA from 1 species
UACGUAGGGAGCGAGCGUUGUCCGGAUUCAUUGGGCGUAAAGAGCUCGUAGGCGGCUUGGUAAGUCGGAUGUGAAACCUCCAGGCUCAACCUGGAGUCGCCAUCCGAUACUCCCGGGCUUGAGCACUGUAGAGGCAGAUGGAAUUCCGGGUGGAGUGGUGAAAUGCGUAGAGAUCCGGAGGAACACCAAAGGCGAAGGCAGUGUCCUGGGGAGUACCUGACGCUCAGGUGCGAAAGCCAGGGGAGCGAACGGG